rnacentral:rRNA from 1 species
AUGUGGGCCCUCCGCGAGCUGGCCGGCGCGGCGGAGGAUUUCGCCGACGCCGCCGAAGAGGCAGUUCAGCUUCUCAUCAGGAUCCGCACCGCCAGCGGCCGGGCGGCGCGCGCCUCCGUCACAGCCGUCUCCAUCCUCCUGGCCGGCGUGCGCGACGUCGCAGCCGCCUUCGCGCCCGUCGUCCAGGUCGUCGCCAAGUUCUUCCGGCGCUCCCGCCCCAAGCCGUCCCGGCAGGAACGCCGCCGCAAGAAGAGGGACGCCAAUCGCGAGGCCCGCAAGCGCGAGAGGGAGGACAAGGCCUCCGUGCGCUCCCCAGCGUCCCGUGUCCCGCCCGCGCCCCAGCCCGUUCUCCCACCCCAUCCCCGUGCCGGAUCUCGCCGCCUCCGCCGCCGUGGGUCUGCCGCCUCCAACGGCUAUUCCACGGGUUCCGAUGUCUGA